GAUGAACGCUGGCGGCGUGCCUAAUACAUGCAAGUCGAGCGAACAGACGAGGAGCUUGCUCCUCUGAUGUUAGCGGCGGACGGGUGAGUAACACGUGGAUAACCUACCUAUAAGACUGGGAUAACUUCGGGAAACCGGAGCUAAUACCGGAUAACAUGUUGAACCGCAUGGUUCAACAGUGAAAGACGGUUUUGCUGUCACUUAUAGAUGGAUCCGCGCCGCAUUAGCUAGUUGGUAAGGUAACGGCUUACCAAGGCAACGAUGCGUAGCCGACCUGAGAGGGUGAUAGGCCACACUGGAACUGAGACACGGUCCAGACUCCUACGGGAGGCAGCAGUAGGGAAUCUUCCGCAAUGGGCGAAAGCCUGACGGAGCAACGCCGCGUGAGUGAAGAAGGUCUUCGGAUCGUAAAACUCUGUUAUUAGGGAAGAACAAAUGUGUAAGUAACUAUGCACGUCUUGACGGUACCUAAUCAGAAAGCCACGGCUAACUACGUG
rnacentral:rRNA from 1 species